GAAAAUAUGUAGACCUAACAUCUAUCUCCCUGCUCCAGUUUCAAGAGAAAAGACCUUAUUCAGAGAAAUAUUUAGAAGACUCUUGUGGAAUUCUUGCUGUGAGUGGUUUUUCCUUCCCUGCCAUUGGUGCGACUGUUUCCCCCUUCCGUCAAAUUGCUGUCUAGAUGUUUCUCUCUGACCCCAAUUUUCUCGGAGUUUGGGAUUAUCAAUCUAAAAUCAGAGGUGAGAAUUCAUCAGUGUUAUCGAUAAGACUUUGCAAUUAUUUCUUUCAAACUGAACUUUUUCCCUAUUCACUUAUUUUUCCUCAUUGCAAAAUAAUCAAAGCAUUGAUGAGUGUUUCUGUUUAAAUUCAAAGGACAUUCCACCUUUAACCUUAGCAUUCAUGAGACACAAAAUGGGUUUUUCUUUUUGCUGAUUUAAAAAGCUGCUAUGAAGCUGCACAGUGCGGAAGAGGGCACCCCUGCUCCAGAAAAGAAGAAACAAAACUGCCUGCCAUAGACACUUGGUAGGGAGUGGCAAAUGGAAUCUUGGUUUGUUUUUCUCUUAGGACUUUGACAAUUAUUUUUCCUUGAAAAGAAUAAGAGAAUCUACCUAAAAUAUUAAUACUAGUUUCAGAGCUCUAGGAUAAUAUAGAGCAGAGUCUCUUUUUUUUAAAAAAGGAAAGCGGUUUCAUUUCUGACAGUGGAUUUCUUCCACUGAUGUGCACACUCUUUGACAUGAAAAGCUGCACGAAGCUGCCUUGAAUUCAUUCUGCAGAUGGAAAGUUGCAAGUACGGUAAUUAGCUAAGCAGUGGCAAGGCCGACCAUCUGAGGUUUGAUUUCUCAUCAAGAGAUAGUGUCCGACACACGUGCCACUGAGCAUGCUUGUAAGAGUUCCACGUUUCAGAUGCACUGAGAAUGCAUGCAUGGAACACACGUCCCCCCAGCCCAACAACCGCACUCCCAAAUUGCCCCUGCACACAUAUAUUCUAACACGGUUACAACACAGCAUGCUCCCGAGCCUCAGACAAUAAGCUGCCCAAAAAGAUGCUCAAGCAACAGUCGCAGUGGGCCUGACUUCUGGUAUCCGCAGCCACUCCAGAGAACUUCCUGUGAGCCCCAGGGACUCAGAGGAGGCUGAGUGAUGAGGAAGGUGGCCAGAGGCUGCCGGACUAGCCCCAAGCAGUCACUCUGCUUCCUGCCUUUGUUUUCCCUCAAACUCUCAUCUUUCUGGAGAAAACAAAACCCUGUCCUGGGGGUGUAGACCAGCCAUGACACCCACUAAUAACCUCUAGCAAAACAAUAGUUUUAAAAUUACUUAAUGCUCUCUUGACUUUCUGACUUUUAAAAUGAAAAUUGUAUUUUGUCACUGUAUCCUUUUGUUGGCAAGUGGAAUACUGCACUCAAACCAAGCAGGCAAUGUAAAACUAUGACUUCAAAGCCAUUCCUUGAUAAAACAUCAAAACGGCCCAGAGUGAACCAACUGUUAUCUGUAAUUCAACAGAUAAUUAACUGAAACUCAGUGCUCAAAUUGCUACUGGGAGUUUCUGCAGCCAAGGUCAUUCUCAUGGUGCUGCUUGAUUUUGUUUCUGUGUCUCUUAUAUCGUUUUAGGCAGGGAGGAACUUGGAUUGUCCUUCAGUAAAAUUCCACUUUGAUGCGCAAAGCGAACUUGAAUUUCUGCUUGGCCUACCACAGGCCUGCAACAUGCACUUUCUCCUCGAGGUGAGAAGGUCUUUUUCUCUCCACUCUGAAACACCGCUGCCUGCACCUUUUGCUGAGUUUAGAGUAGCAUCAUACUUUCUGCCACGAAUGCCACAAAUACUGCCUUUUCAACUUGGUUUUGUAAAAUGUAAUGGUACUAAAUCCGCCAAAGGGAUAAAGCACCCUUACUUUGGAUUUGCCAGUCCCAUGGGUACAUAACUGACCUACUACUCUCCCACCUCCCAACCUUGAAACUCCAGCCCCCUGAACGGCCUCACCACUCCAACCCCCACUGCAAUUUCCCACUCCCCACCUCCAUGCAUUGCCCAUUCACCAAGCCAGCCACAUCUCCCUUUAAGUUGAAAACUCACCCGAAAGCCCACUACCUCUUCCAUGCAGCCUCCCCUGAUUAAGUGAGGAUGAAGAAACCUCCAAAGCAUGGCCGACAAACUCCCAAUAAACGAGAACACACACCCCCCCAAAACAAACACAGAAACUCACAAAAGAAGAAAAUGACACAUUCUCUACUUUUGAUUUGUGAAACUCCUAUGGGGCUAAGGAGAUCAAUUUUAUACCAAUAAAUCAUUUCAGAAAAUGAAGUCAUUUUAAUAUUCUUGGGGUUACUCAGCAAAACACUUUGCUUGGACGUCUCUUUUGUACUUUCCUUAAAUUCUUCUUCCUUUUCUUCUCGGCUUUUUGAACGUAUGACUGAAGGGAACUGCCACUCACUGACACGGACAACAGUAAAGGAACUUGGUCUUCACUAUGCCUCAUAGUGGUGGGUCACACUGCCCAGGAGGAACCCGCAAUGAGACCGGCAAAUGCCUUAACCAUCUCAUUGUCUCAUCAGGAAGAAGCUUAAAUGACUCUUCUUGCUCACAUACUUCCUGGGCAAACAUGUCUGCUCUGUUGGGAUAAAGGACGCUCUAGACCAGGCUCUGCUGAAAGAUCCAGGGCAAAGGUUCCUGACAAGACUAUGUCCAGCCUCAAAUAAGGCCACAGAAGAGCCCAGGCUCGCUGACGAGCACCGGCUCCGAGGCAGUCACAUCAGGAGACAGAAACAGACAUGUUGGUGCUGCCCUCUCAGGUCAGUGCAAAUGCCACUUGAGGAGGGCUGAGAGCUUUGCAGCAUAAAAUGACCAGAACAAGGAGAAACACAGAUGCAAUGGCAAUAGCUGGCAAUUCGCACAUGGCGUCAAACACCACUGCCACAGAAGCUUUUUAGCUACAAGCCACGCUAUGCAACCUUUAAGCAAAACAUUAUUGAUUUUGUGGUUGUAAAAACAUACCUUCAACUGCAGAACUCAGUUUUAUGACACCUUGAAUAAAAACAAAAAGUGGCAGUUAUAUAAUGGACCCAAAUCGCCUUUUCCAGGCUUCUCAUAACACACGCAUGCUUCAGAUUUGGAUUUUUCUUUUUCUGCUGGCAUUGCAAGAACGUAACUAAACAAAUAUCAACUUCAAAAAUAAAAUAAUUUUUAGUCUUAACUAGGUCUCAUGGAUGUCUUCUUUUCCCCCACUAAAACCAUUUGGGGAAAUUUUUCACUAAAAAUGGGAUCAAACAUGUUUUUGGAUGGGACAAAGGCCAAGUCUGCCUGAGUGACUAUUUCUGUGUAUAAAUUAUACCAGAUUAUGGAUCAAUAAAAGUUCACACAAUAGGAUGCUAGGGACCAGCACUUCCUCUUUGAUACUGUAUCUAGAGAUCAUCUGAUGCAUGUUAGGACAGAGUUUCUGUUGAAACAUGUAACAGGUGGUUAAAAACCAUGGUGUGAUCUGGUAACUUUCUUCUCUGGGGUGGUUGGGCCAGAGCCCUUUUCUUGGUCUGAUGGGUUUAGAUUUCAGCUCCCUCAAGUCAGAGAGUGAACGGGUUAUCUGAGCAAGUCAAGUUGUUCAUGAAGCAAGUCAGUACCCUUGACUGAUAUUUAUGCACCUUUGCAGUGAAUUUUUUUUUUUUUUGAGACAGAGUCUCGCUCUGUCACCCAGGCUGGAGUGCAGUGGCGCAAUCUCGGAUCUUGGAUCUCGGCUCACUGCAACCUCUGCCUCCUGGGUGGACGCCAUUCUCCUGCCUCAGCCUCCCGAGUGGCUGGGACUACAGGCGC
rnacentral:lncRNA from 1 species